rnacentral:rRNA from 1 species
GACGAACGCUGGCGGCGUGCUUAACACAUGCAAGUCGAACGGUGAAGCGCCUUCCUUUUUGGUGGGUGUUGAUGAGUGGCCAACUGGUUAGUAACACGUUAGUAACCUUCCCCCUUCUUCUUGAUAACCGCAUGAAAGUGUUGCUAAUACGGGAUAUUCUGGGUCUGUCGCAUGAUUGGUCUGAGACAGAUAUUGUUUCGGUGGUGGAUGGGCUCGCGGCCUAUCAGCUUGUUGGUGGGGUGAUGGCCUACCAAGGCGGUGACGCGUAGCCGGCCUGAGAGGGGGAUGGGGCACAGCGGGAAUGAGACGCGGACAAGAGUCCGACGGGAGGCGGCAGGAGGGAAUCUUACGGAAUGGGCGAGAGGUUGACGGAGCAACGACGCGUGAGUGAUGAAGGUCUGCGGAUCGUAGAACGCUGUUAGUAUGGAAGAAAAAAGGUGUAAGUAACUAUGCACGUCGGGACGGUACCUAAGCAGAAAGCCAAGGCUAAGUACGGG